CGUGUAGGCGGUCAGGUAAGUGGAAUGUGAAAUGCCCCGGCUCACCCGGGGACCGGCAUCCCAAACUGCCUGGCUUGAGUAUGGGAGAGGAUGGAGGAAUUCCUGGUGUAGCGGUGAAAUGCGUAGAUAUCAGGAGGAACACCGGUGGCGAAAGCGGCUUCCUGGCCCAUUUCUGACGCUCAGACGCGAAAGCUAGGGUAGCAAACG
rnacentral:rRNA from 1 species